rnacentral:rRNA from 1 species
UGGGGAAUUUUGGACAAUGGGCGCAAGCCUGAUCCAGCCAUGCCGCGUGCGGGAAGGAGGCCUUCGGGUUGUAAACCGCUUUUGUCAGGGAAGAAAUCUUCUGAGUUAAUACCUCGGGAGGAUGACGGUACCUGAAGAAUAAGCACCGGCUAACUACGUGCCAGCAGCCGCGGUAAUACGUAGGGUGCAAGCGUUAAUCGGAAUUACUGGGCGUAAAGCGUGCGCAGGCGGUUUUGUAAGACAGAGGUGAAAUCCCCGGGCUCAACCUGGGAACUGCCUUUGUGACUGCAAGGCUUGAGUGCGGCAGAGGGGGAUGGAAUUCCGCGUGUAGCAGUGAAAUGCGUAGAUAUGCGGAGGAACACCGAUGGCGAAGGCAAUCCCCUGGGCCUGCACUGACGCUCAUGCACGAAAGCGUGGGGAGCAAACAGGAUUAGAUACCCUGGUAGUCCACGCCCUAAAACGAUGUCAACUGGUUGUUGGGAAGGUUCCUUCUCAGUAACGUAGCUAACGCGUGAAGUUGACCGCCUGGGGAGUACGGCC